rnacentral:tRNA from 1 species
CAACAAAUAGUUUAUAUAGAAUAAGGGUUUUGGAGACUUUUGGAAUAAUUAAUUUUAUUUUGUUGA